UACGGAGGGUGCGAGCGUUGUCCGGAAUCACUGGGCGUAAAGGGCGCGUAGGUGGCCUGUGGAAGUCUGCGGUGAAAGCCCGGCGCUCAACGCCGGGUCGGCCGUGGAUACUCUCGGGCUCGAGCUUACUAGAGGCAGAUGGAAUUCCGGGUGUAGCGGUGGAAUGCGUAGAGAUCCGGAAGAACACCGGUGGCGAAAGCGGCUCACUGGACCAUAACUGACGCUGAUGCACGAAAGCUGGGGGAGCAAACAGG
rnacentral:rRNA from 1 species